UGGAUAACACGUUUCCUUCAGGCAAGGCA
rnacentral:piRNA from 1 species